AGACGCUCCUCACUUCCUAGAUGGGAUGGCGGCCAGGCAGAGGCUGCAAUCUCGGCACUUUGGGAGGCCAAGGCAGGCGGCUGGGAGGUGGAGGUUGUAGCGAGCCGAGAUCACGCCACUGCACUCCAGCCUGGGCACCAUUGAGCACUGAGUGAACCAGACUCCGUCUGCAAUCCCGGCACCUCGGGAGGCCGGAGGCCGAGGCUGGCGGAUCACUCGCAGUUAGGAGCUGGAGACCAGCCCGGCCAACACAGCGAAACCCCGUCUCCACCAAAAAAAUACGAAAACCAGUCAGGCGUGGUGGCGCGCCUGCAAUCGCAGGCACUCGGCAGGCUGAGGCAGGAGAAUCAGGCAGGGAGGCUGCAGUGAGCCGAGAUGGCAGCAGUACAGUCCAGCUUCGGCUCGGCAUCAGUGGGAGACGGUGGAAAGAGAGGGAGAGGGAGACUGUGGGGAGAGGGAGAGGGAGAGGGGGGAGAGGGAGAGGGAGAGGGAGGAGCCAUAAUUCUUGUAUUUGGAAUCAGUCUAGUUCCCAAGAACUUCAGUUUGAUGCUCUUCAAGUUCUACCUUCACUAUAGGAUGUGGUUUUCAAGAUGAAAGUUACGACCCACCAAUGGGUUUUGAAAUAAAUUUAGUAGGCCACAACCAGUAUUUUUUUUAACAAAGGAAUCGAAUAGAAAAGAAAGUAUCAGGAUAUAUAACACAUGGCAAGGAUGAUAAUAUGUAAAACUUUGGUUUCAAAGACAAUAUGUGUGUCUAUUUAUAUAUCUAUUUCACACCAUAUAUGCUGACCUACACACCUACAUGUUUGUGUGUACUUGGUUAUGAUAAAAAUUCAUUAAAUGAUGGUAAAAAAAAGUUUGAAAAAACAAAUAAUUCAAUCUAAAAAUGAGAAAAGAAUCUCAAUAGACAUCUCUCAAAAGAAGGCCUACAAAUGGUCAACAAGAAUAUGAAAACAUGUUCAACAUCUCUAUUAGGGAAAUGUAAAUUAAAAUCACAUGAAAUAUCAUCCAACUCCCAUUAGAAUGGCUGCCAUCAGAAAAACAAAAUAACAACAGCAACAACAACAAAAAUCGAAUGUUGGUGAGGAUGUGGAGAAAAGGAAAUUCUUAUAUUACAUUCUUGGUAAGAAUGUAAAUUAGUACAGCCAUUAUAGAAAACAAUAUGGAGGUUUCUCAAAAACCUAAAAAUAUAACUACCAUAUGAUUCAGCAAUCCCACUACUUCCCCAAAGGGAAGGAAAUCAAUAUAUGGAAAAGACAUCUGCACUCCCAUGUUUAUUCCAGCACUAUUCACAAUAGCCAAGGUAUGGAGUCAACCUAAAUGUCCAUCAACAGAAGAAUGAAUAAAGAAAAUGUGGCAUGUAUACACAAUGGAGUACUAUUCAGCCAUAUAAAAGGAAUGAAAUUGGUUGGGGGGGCAUGGUGGCUUACGCCUGUAAUAGCAGCACUUUGGGAGGCCGAGGUGGGAGGAUCACCUGAGGUCAGGAGUUCAAGACCAACCUGACCAACGUGGAGAAACCCCAUCUCUACUAAAAAUACACAAUUAGCCAGGCGUGGUGGCACAUGCCUGUAAUCCCAGCUACUCGGGAGGCUGAGGCAGGAGAAUCACUUGAACCUGGGAGGCAGAGGUUGCGGUGAGCCGAGAUCACACCAUUGCACUCCAGCCUGGGCGACAAGAGCGAAACUCCGUCUCAGAAAAAAAAAAAGGAAUGAAAUCCUGAAUCCCGUCAUUUGUGACAACAUGGAUGAGCUUGGAGGACAUUAUGGUAAGUGAAAUAAACCAGGAACAGAAAAUAAAUACUGCAUGUUCUCUCUCAUACAUGAGAGCUAAAAAAAAGUUGGUGUCUAAGAAGCAGAGAGUAGACUAGUGGUUAUUAGAGGCUGGGAAGCAUAGUGGAGAGGUUGGUUAACAGACUUAACAGACACAAAAUUACAGAUAGAUAGGGGAAUAAGUUCUAAGUGUUCUAUAGAACUGUAGAGUGAAUAUAGUUAACAAUAUUUUAUUGUAUAUUUUUAAAAAUCUAGAAGAGAGGAUUUUGAACGUUCCCAACACAAAGAAAAGAUGAAUGUUUGCGGUAAUAGAUACGUCAAUUACCCUGAUUUGGUUAUUACGCAUUAUAUACAUGUAUUCAAAUAGUGCUCUGUAUCCCAUAACAUGUACAAUUAUUAUAUGUCAACUAAAAAUAAAAGAAAAAACAUUUGAAGGCUUGUGCUGUAUGUUUUGAGCCAUUCUAAUGCCUGAAUCACUUACAAAGAGAUGCAGAGCGUGAUGAAGCUAGUCUGUACUGGGAAAAGAAAUGGCUAGAGCCAAAAAAAGAAAGGGACUUAUGGAAGCAAACUCACAGUGGCUACUCUGCUCCCUACCAUUGCCUCUGACGAGUUGAGGUCCCCAGGAGGUCUCCUCAUACACAUCGUUCUUCCCUGAUUGCCUGUGAGAUAACUCUUUCCUUUCUUUCCUAUCUGUAUACACAGCAUGAGUUUCCAUAAGCUAAAUGGGACAUAACAUGAUUGAUUAACUAGGGGACAUGUGUAGACCCUCUUCUGACCCAUACAGAAGUAGAGUGUGUGGGCAGAGAGAAAGGCCUGUUGUGUAAGUGCCACAGCCUCUUUGUUGUGCUAAAAGCAAUGGAAAUGUCUAAGAAGUAUUGUGAUGGCCUAAGACGUCAUUCUUGAGCAAGAGCUAGAUGGAAUCACAUGCCAUAUUUUUACGUUUACAAUUUCAGUGUUCUAGCUAUAUACUUAAAACUAUAAACAAUGCUUUUGUUACAGAGAUUCCUGCAGUCCCCAUGCCCCUCUUUUUUUUGUUAACUGAAACAAAAGUAUGUAUAAUGCUGUUUUUGUUAAAGUAAGGUUGCCUGGGCACACCACCCUCACAUCAUUGCAGAACGCACUAAACUAGAGCCUGCCGUCGUUUGGGCCAACCCAACGGAAUUGCUCUCCCUUGUAAUCAUAAGGACCUAAAACUGAACAGGUAACAUACCCAACAUCUCAGAUUCAUUAUUUUUAAUGUAUUUUUUUUUGGUAGCUUUGGCAUGGGACAGUCACAUCAAAGGUGCUUGUUAUGACCUAAGCAAUCAUCAUCAAUAGCUGAUAACAUCCAAAGAGAGACACAACCAGACAUUAUGCACCUCCUGAUUAUAGUACAAAAGAAUGCAAACUAAGUCUGCACAACCUCCAGCUCUAAGUACCAAUGCCAAGGAAACACAGGAGAAAAGGAAACGUACUAAACCAUGUUAUUAUUGGAAUGCCAUUAACCAAAGCCAACAUGUGGGAGACUACCAGACAAGAAGAUUUAGUUCCUUUAACAGCAUCAACAACACAGCAAACAGGGAAAAAGAGGAUGGAGUUUUCAUGCCUCAGGGAUACUGAGGCAAAUAAACUGUCAGUAAAGAAAAGAGAGCAAGGUAGAAAGAGGCUAUUUAUAGGAGAAUCAGGAAAAUGUAAAUACUAAAUGAAUAUCUGAUACUAUUACAGAAUUAUUAAUAUUGGUUUUUAGGGAGCUGUGAUGAUUCUUAGGGAGGUGUCCUGAUGCUGCAUAGUUGCUUUUAAAAAGGGCACUCUUUGUCUUUUACAGAUCCACACUGAAACGUUUACUGAUGAAAUGCUCUCUAACAUCUGGGAUUUCCUUCAAAAUUAUCCGGGGCAGAGAGGGAGUGGGUACGGGCAGAGGAAAUAACAUAGGACAUAAGUUGAAAAUACUGAAGCUGAGUGAAGGGAGUUCAUUGUAAUACACUCCACACUUUGGUAUAUGUUUGAAAUUUUGCCUAAUAAAAAAAAUUCAGUGUCUAUUUUACAGAUGUAUUUGUCAUUUCAACAAACAUAUGUUGAAAUCAUGUUGCACAUUAGGGAUUGGAGACAUAUACACAAAUUAGCAUUCCGGCCAGACUGCUUAUCAUUACUUCUUAUUUCCUGUUUGUAAGAUGCCAUUCGUCUGGGCAAGGUAGCACAUGCUUGUAAUCCCAGAUUUUUGGGAGGCUGCAGUGGGACCAUCACUAGAGGUUAGCACUUGGAGACCAGCCUGGGCAACAUAGGGAGACAUCAUCUCUACAAAAAUAAAAGUAAAAAAAAUUAGCCAGGUGUGGUAUCAUGUGCCUAUAGACCCAGCUACUCAGGAGGAUGAGGUGGGAGGGUCCCUUGAGCCCAGGAGUUCAAGGCUGCAGUGAGCUAAGAAGAUGCCAGUGCGCUCCUCCCUGGGUGGCAGAGCGAGAACCUGUCUCUACAAAAUAAAAUAAAAUAAAAUGUCAUUUAUUUUAAGACACACAAUUAUAUUAAUUGCAGCUUUUGAAGUAUCCCGAAGGUCAAUGCUCACUUGGAGUGGGAGAGGGGAAAAAAAGCCCACCAUAUUAAAAUUAAACAUUGAUUUUGAGACACAUUCUAAUUUCAGACUAUCCAAACUAUAUAUCUUUAGAUCAAGGAAGAAUGGUGAUUCUUACUUUCUUUUGGCUCUAUGGUAAGUAUCUGGUUGUAAAGUCUGAGGGCAUCCUAAGGGAAAAUAUUGUGUCCAGUGUAACUGUGGUUUUGAUCCUAUAGUUUUUUCUUUCUUUUUUUUUUCUUCAGUGUGUCAGAAUCUAGCUAUCAAGUUGAAAUAGGUUAAUCUGAUCUUAUCACCAGCAGACGCAUCUCAGUCAUCUGGAAGAAAGUGCUGUUACAAGAAGUAACUCUGGGUAUGCGCUUCAGGAAUGCAGUUGUGGAAACCAUGUUUGCGGCUGCUUUAAACUGUUUCCCAGGAGUCAAGGAAAAUUCAACAAUCUGAGACCAAAAAGGUAUCUUCGGCACAGUCUUCCUUGGCACAGCCGUGGAGAACAGAGCCAGGGCUUUGAGUCAGAGGAAUUGGGUUGAAACCUGCCUGUAUUGGUUGCAACCUGGUGACCUUGGAUAUCCUUUUUAUUCUCUGAGCCUUAUAUACCCCCUGGAUAAAAUAUAUCUGAUGAAACCUGCUGUUGCAUGUUCUGGGAUUUAAAUGAAUAACACCGUACCUAAAGCAUUUGGUGCAGGGUUAGGACGUGUAGAAGCUUAAGUUGUUAUUCUUCUUCUUAACAUUUUCCUGGAACUCCGGUGAGGCUCCCCGAGCAUGGGACUUUUUAGCUCCGUCUGACGACUGAUCCCUGCAGUUAACUGAUCAUUCUACAAAGCCACCAUUUGCUGAAUCCAUUGCCAAAGAAUCGAUACAGGUGAUAUCUCAGCCCAAGCUGCUAUAUCAAAAUACUAUUGACUGAGUGGCUUAAGCCACAGACAUUUAUUUCUUACAGUUGUGGAGGCUGGGAAGCCCAAGAUGAAAGUGCUGGCAGAUCCUGUGUCUAGUGAGGGCUGUCUUCCUGGUUGGCAGAUAGCCGUCUUCUUGCUGUAUCCUCGCAUGGUGGAGAGAGAGAUCUCAUGUUUCUCCAUUUCUUUAAUGAGGGCAUUCAGCCCAUCAUGAGGGCCCCACCCUCACCCUCAUGACUUAAUCUAACCCAGCCCCUACCUCCAAGUACCAUGAGGGUUAGGGUUUCAGCAUAUAAAUUGAGGGGAGGAAGACACAAACACUUAGUCUAUAGCAGGUGAAUUGGCUGCUUCCAUCCUGGCUUGGAACUUCAGACAUAGAAGCCUUGGGACUUUCUCAGGACUUUCUCCAGAUCUGACUCAUGCUCAGCAAACAAGCAUCUCUGUGGAUCACGUGACCUUAGCCAGGGAUGUUGGUGAAACUGUGUGUUGGUCUAGGUACCUAGCCCAUGCUAGGUGCUCAUCGAAUAGCUUUAGUGGGUGACUGUGACUGAAGAGGCAUGAGCCACCGUGCCUGGCCUUUAGGAUGUUUAUAUGCUCUCUAUGCACCAUGAUAUUUGCGCCCUGGCGGAGCAGUCUCAGUUCCACUUCUGAGCUGGGAUGAGUAUUUAGCUCCUUCCCCAUCUGAUGCGAACUAGGCAACACUACAGAGCCAGAGGCAGAAAACAGGAGGGCUUCUCACCUGUCCUUGUCCAUGAAUAGCCAGUGCUCUGCUGAGGACUCCAGGAACCCACUCUUCAUGAUCAGCCUCAAUUGGCAGUGGCCAUCUCCUCUGGCAGCAAGCACAAGUGGACUUCUCUUCCUGCCCACAUCUGCUAGAUGAGGGUGACCCUCUGGAGAGAGGCUGGGAGAAGCUAGCCAGCCUGUAACCAGUGGGCUAGUGUGUGUACAUAUUGUAUGCAUGCUGGGGGACAGAAGAGGGUGUGGGGAAGGGCAACUUGCUUUCCCCAGGUGAAGGAGUAAGGAAAUGUUUCCUUCCCAACCUUCUUUCUAGACCAGCUAAUACUCCAGUUUCACCCUUUGGGCAAGUCAUUUAUCUGUCUGAGCCUGAACUUCCUCAUGUAUAUGAAAGAUGGAGAAGACCAUUGUAGAAAUUCAUGUUAUUAGUAUUCCAAGCAAAAGAGCUAAAGGUUGGUCUCUCAAAUUCCUACCCCUUUGAAGACCGAUGGAUAAGAUUCUUUAAGUUUGCUGCAGGUGAUUAACUAUGCAAGGGCUAAAGACAGCAGAACUCUUGCCAAAGUAGCGUGCCACGGUAAUUCUGCCAUGACCUAUGUAAGCAGAAAUGGGUGGAUAAAUAGUUGCAGACUAUCUACAGAUUUCCGUCUUCCAAGUCUUCCAGGCAGAGGCUACAAAAUAAAAUACCCUUAAGAGCCAGGCAGGUAAUGAGAAUGAGUGGUGCAUGCCGGGGGUUUGCAUAGUAAAUAUUAGCACUAUUCCUUGCUUCCACAAAGGCGCUUUCUGCACUUGCUGGUAAAACACACAGUCCUCUGGGUAUAUGUUUUGUUUUCUCACAUUUUGUAGAUUCAUGAGCACAGAGAAAUAUUUCUGCACUACAAGCAAAACACUAAAAUAUAGGCUGAAGUAGCAACAGUGGAAGGAGCCCUGGAGAAUUGGGAAGCAUGUACUCUACCCAAAGAGGACCUAAGCUGUGCAACUCCAGCUCACCGUUCAGGGAGGGGAGUAAUGUGGGCCCAGUGUAGCCAGAACCUCUACUUCUUUAUUUAAAAGAAGCUGGAAAUCCAGAUUUUUAAAAACGUAGAGUCUCCUGCUUUUGCUGUUUUUCUUUUUCUUCUUUUUCCCUUUUAAUGGUGCACAUGUAUUUUUUAAAACUUUGUGCACACGAAAUAAAACCCACCUCCUGGUGGCCUGUCUGCCUCUUACCUUCCACAUACCACACUGAAUUUUGAAGGGUUCUCGCUGAAUUGCUCCAAAUCUGACAUUCUGGGUAACCCUCCUCAUGCAGCUGGGAGCCUUUGGAAUCUUCACAACCAGGAGGGCUGUGUCUUUGACCUUGAUUUAGGCCUUGUGUCUUCAGGGCAUGCCAAGGGGCCGGUGCAGGCUGGACAGAGGUGUGAUCUCCUUUUCUCAGCAUAAUUUCCUUCCUGGGGUCUUCAUAUCGCCCUGAGGCAGGAGCUGGGGUGCUGGCUCCUUCUGAAGGUCGCUUUUCUGGCCUUUGCCUGGG
rnacentral:lncRNA from 1 species